UUAAAAUAAAUGGGGACUGAAGCAAUCAAGCUUCAAAUAAAGGCAGUCUACCUUAAAAGUAGCUAGUUUAAAAAUGUCCUAUUCGUCAUAAAAAAUAAUUCUGGGAGGUACAGGACAACAUUUAAGUCUUAUUAUUUCGAUUUUGAUCUUUGAAUUAGAUGAUUCAAUUCACAAAACCAUAUCCGAAUGAUUCGUUCAUCAGUCAAACUGAUCAUUUCUCACUGAGUCAGUGAUCCGGGGACUAACAGCAGGUGUUUUCGGUUUGUUUCAUAUACAAACUAUGACUCAAGAAAUGUUCCAUCUGUGUUCUUCGGAAGAAAUCUAGCCAUACUCUUAACAACAACACGACGGUGACUGUUUCAUUAUGAAUGACUUCCUGACCCUCCUAAAUGAAUGGCCUGAGGGGAAAGACUUCAAGAAACUGAUGAAGGACCCUUCAGGACCCUCCAGAUAUCCCUCUCUGAUGACUGGAGAUUGUCUGGAUACAGUGCUGUAGGAGAAGAAAUUUAGCUCUAUACCUGAACCCUCCUAAUGGUGUCUUUAAGUCUUAAAGCUCGACUUCAAACAAACAACUUCAACAGCAAGGUUAAUGCCUCCCACCUAAGGCCCCAGGACACAUGCCUCCUUCAGAUUUCAUUUGCAUUCUCUGGUUCUUGUCCAUGCAGAAGUCGUUCCAUAUUGCUAGGGUGUUGUAAGUCAUUGCCAAUGAAUUGCAUUACAAUUACUAAUGUUUUUUUUUAAAGGUUUUUGAAGUGUUCUCUAUAUGGCUGCCAUGUUGUUCUGGCUGGUUCUGGUUAAGGACGUUGUUAAGUGAUGGCCAUUUAAAAGGAACCAUACAUUCUGAAAAAUAAAAAAUGUAAGCAUAAUUAAUAGGUGAAUUUAUUUUGCCUGAUUUGAUUAUAAUUAACAAGUUCUCGUUUUGAUUUCAAUUUGAUUCUGGUUCAUUAUAUAUUUCUGUGACAAUGUCUGUUCUGUUUUGCUUAUCCCCUAGUUGUUGCAGUAAUUAUACAGGAAACCUU